rnacentral:rRNA from 1 species
CAAAGGCUUGGUCCUGACUUUAUUAUCAACUCUAGCUAGACUUACACAUGCAAGCAUCCGCACUCCCGUGAGAAUGCCCUCUAGUUCCCUGCUUGGGAACAAGGAGCUGGUAUCAGGCACAAGUUUUUAGCCCAUGACGCCUUGCUUAGCCACACCCCCAAGGGAAUUCAGCAGUGAUAGACAUUAAGCCAUAAGUGAAAACUUGACUUAGUCAAAGCUAAGAGGGCCGGUAAAUCUCGUGCCAGCCACCGCGGUUAUACGAGAGGCCCAAGUUGAUAAAUACCGGCGUAAAGAGUGGUUAGAGAAGAAACUAAACUAAAGCCAAACGCCUUCAGAGCUGUUAUACGCUUACGAAGAGCAGAGACACAACCACGAAAGUGGCUUUACUUAACCUGACCCCACGAAAGCUAGGGCACAAACUGGGAUUAGAUACCCCACUAUGCCUAGCCGUAAACAUUGAUAGUGCAUUACAUCUGCUAUCCGCCCGGGUACUACGAGCAUCAGCUUAAAACCCAAAGGACUUGGCGGUGCUUUAGAUCCAC